rnacentral:tRNA from 1 species
GUUUUUAUAGUUGAAUACAACGUUGGUUUUUCAAGUCAAAGGUUUUGGUUUAAGUCCAGGUAAGAAUA